rnacentral:rRNA from 1 species
UACGAAGGGGGCUAGCGUUGCUCGGAAUUACUGGGCGUAAAGCGCACGUAGGCGGCUUCUUAAGUCGGUGGUGAAAUCCUGGAGCUCAACUCCAGAACUGCCUUCGAUACUGGGAAGCUCGAGUCCGGGAGAGGUGAGUGGAACUGCGAGUGUAGAGGUGAAAUUCGUAGAUAUUCGCAAGAACACCAGUGGCGAAGGCGGCUCACUGGCCCGGUACUGACGCUGAGGUGCGAAAAGCGUGGG